rnacentral:rRNA from 1 species
AGUGAACGCUGGCGGUAGGCCUAACACAUGCAAGUCGAACGGCAGCACAGUAAGAGCUUGCUCUUACGGGUGGUGAGUGGCGGACGGGUGAGGAAUACAUCGGAAUCUACUUUUUCGUGGGGGAUAACGUAGGGAAACUUACGCUAAUACCGCAUACGACCUACGGGUGAAAGCAGGGGAUCUUCGGACCUUGUGCGAUUGAAUGAGCCGAUGUCGGAUUAGCUAGUUGGCGGGGUAAAGGCCCACCAAGGCGACGAUCCGUAGCUGGUCUGAGAGGAUGGUCAGCCACACUGGAACUGAGACACGGUCCAGACUCCUACGAGAGGCAGCAGUGGGGAAUAUUGGACAAUGGGCGCAAGCCUGAUCCAGCCAUACCGCGUAGGUGAAGAAGGCCUUCGGGUUGUAAAGCCCUUUUGUUGGGAAAGAAAAGCAGCAGGUUAAUACCCCGCUGUUCUGACGGUACCCAAAGAAUAAGCACCGGCUAACUUCGUG